rnacentral:misc_RNA from 1 species
AUUUUUAUGUCUAAUUGAGCCUUGAUGCCAAACGUAAGGGCCACAUUGGCCUUUUGUCUAUUUAUUCUCCCUCUUUUGUGAGCACAAGGAAUAAUUCAACUGCUUAGUUUAGAUGAAUUUAACUGAUUUUGACUAAGCCACACAUUUUUGGUAGCAGGCAUACGGUUAAUGGUAACUCCACUGCACAAGUUCUUAAGUAUGAUUUUUAAAUUUUAGGUGAUUUUAGAUGAAUUUAACUGAUUUUGACUAAGCCACACAUUUUUGGUAGCAGGCAUACGGUUAAUGGUAACUCCACUGCACAAGUUCUUAAGUAUGAUUUUUAAAUUUUAGGUGAU